rnacentral:rRNA from 1 species
GACGAACGCUGGCGGCGUGCUUAACACAUGCAAGUCGAACGGAAAGGCCCUGCUUUUGUGGGGUGCUCGAGUGGCGAACGGGUGAGUAACACGUGAGUAACCUGCCCUUGACUUUGGGAUAACUUCAGGAAACUGGGGCUAAUACCGGAUAGGAGCUCCUGCUGCAUGGUGGGGGUUGGAAAGUUUCGGCGGUUGGGGAUGGACUCGCGGCUUAUCAGCUUGUUGGUGGGGUAGUGGCUUACCAAGGCUUUGACGGGUAGCCGGCCUGAGAGGGUGAACGGCCACAUGGGGACUGAGAUACGGCCCAGACUCAUACGGGAGGCAGCAGUGGGGAAUAUUGAACAAUGGGCGGAAGCAUGAUGCAGCAACGCCGCGUGCGGGAUGACGGCCUUCGGGUUGUAAACCGCUUUCGCCUGUGACGAAGCGUGAGUGACGGAAAUGGGUAAAGAAGCACCGGCUAACUACGU